rnacentral:rRNA from 1 species
CAGCAGCCACGGUAAUACGGAGGGUGCAAGCGUUACUCGGAAUCACUGGGCGUAAAGGACGCGUAGGCGGAUUAUCAAGUCUCUUGUGAAAUCUAACGGCUUAACCGUUAAACUGCUUGGGAAACUGAUAAUCUAGAGUAAGGGAGAGGCAGAUGGAAUUCUUGGUGUAGGGGUAAAAUCCGUAGAGAUCAAGAAGAAUACCCAUUGCGAAAGCGAUCUGCUGGAACUUAACUGACGCUAAUGCGUGAAAGCGUGGGGAGCAAACAGGAUUAGAUACCCGCGUAGUCCCUGUCUCUUAUAC